CACUUAAUAACUAGCUUAUAAUUUA
rnacentral:rRNA from 1 species